rnacentral:misc_RNA from 1 species
UAGAGUUGCAAAACUCCCCAAACCAUCGUGAACCGUACCCAACACCGUUGCUUCGGCGGGCGGUCCCGGGUCUCCCGGGCGCCCCUGGGCCCCUCGCGGGCGCCCGCCGGAGGUGCACACAAACCCCUGUACUUUGCAUGGCCUCUCUGAGUCUCUGUACUGAAUAAGUCA